rnacentral:rRNA from 1 species
UACUAGAGUAGCACUCGCAUAUCAAUAAGCGGAGGAAAAGAAACUAACAAGGAUUCCCCUAGUAACGGCGAGUGAAGCGGGAAGAGCUCAAAUUUGAAAUCUUAAAGGGUUUCCCUUUACGAAUUGUAGUUUAAAGAAGUGUUUUCUGUUGAGGUUUUGGUAAAAGUUCUUUGGAAUAGGACAUCAUAGAGGGUGAGAAUCCCGUAUUUGACCUUUACUUUCAACUUUGUGAUACACUUUCAAAGAGUCGGAUUGUUUGGGAAUGCAGUCCAAAAUGGGUGGUAAAUUUCAUCUAAAGCUAAAUAUUGGCGAGAGACCGAUAGCGAACAAGUACCGUGAGGGAAAGAUGAAAAGAACUUUGAAAAGAGAGUUAAACAGUACGUGAAAUUGUCAAAGGGGAAGCGUUUGACACCAGUGUUGUUUUUCUGAAAAUCAAUUAAAGAACUGUUUAUGCUAAGCUGUUUAGACUUUAUCAGCUAUCUGUUUAGUUUUAGGCUUUUCUUUAAUGCACUUUUCAGUUAACAAGUCAACAUCAAUUUCUUUUGCUGUAAAAAAGCUUGAGGAAGGUGGCUUGAGAUUCGUCUUAAGUGUUUAUAGCCUCUUGCCUAUGCAGUCGGAGAGAUUGAGGUCUGCAGCGUAGAUCCUUCGGGGCUAAAUGCAUUUGUGCUAAGUUAUAGCAUUUUAUAGACAACUUGUUGACUAUGAUUUGUCUUGUAGCUUACUCGCUUAUGUUAUUUUACCUACGCUUAGGAUGUUGAGCGCAUGUCUCUCUCU